GACGAACGCUGGCGGCGUGCUUAACACAUGCAAGUCGAACGAUGAAGCUAGAGCUUGCUCUGGUGAAUUAGUGGCGAACGGGUGAGUAACACGUGAGUAACCUGCCCCGAACUCUGGGAUAACUGCUGGAAACGGUAGCUAAUACUGGAUACGACCUACGAAGGCAUCUUCUGUAGGUGGAAAGAAUUUCGGUUCGGGAUGGACUCGCGGCCUAUCAGCUUGUUGGUGAGGUAAUGGCUCACCAAGGCGACGACGGGUAGCCGGCCUGAGAGGGUGACCGGCCACACUGGGACUGAGACACGGCCCAGACUCCUACGGGAGGCAGCAGUGGGGAAUGUCGCACAAUGGGCGCAAGCCUGAUGCAGCAACGCCGCGUGAGGGAUGACGGCCUUCGGGUUGUAAACCUCUUUUAGUAGGGAAGAAGCGAAAGUGACGGUACCUGCAGAAAAAGCACCGGCUAACUACGUGCCAGCAGCCGCAGUAA
rnacentral:rRNA from 1 species